rnacentral:rRNA from 1 species
CCUACGGGGUGCAGCAGUCGAGAAUCAUUCACAAUGGGGGAAACCCUGAUGGUGCGACGCCGCGUGGGGGAAUGAAGGUCUUCGGAUUGUAAACCCCUGUCAUGUGGGAGCAAAUUAAAAAGAUAGUACCACAAGAGGAAGAGACGGCUAACUCUGUGCCAGCAGCCGCGGUAAUACAGAGGUCUCAAGCGUUGUUCGGAAUCACUGGGCGUAAGGCGUGCGUAGGCUGUUUCGUAAGUCGUGUGUGAAAGGCGCGGGCUCAACCCGCGGACGGCACAUGAUACUGCGAGACUAGAGUAAUGGAGGGGGAACCGGAAUUCUCGGUGUAGCAGUGAAAUGCGUAGAUAUCGAGAGGAACACUCGUGGCGAAGGCGGGUUCCUGGACAUUAACUGACGCUGAGGCACGAAGGCCAGGGGAGCGAAAGGGAUUAGAUACCCUGGUAGUC